UACGUAGGGGGCAAGCGUUGUCCGGAAUCAUUGGGCGUAAAGAGCGCGUAGGCGGCCCAGUAAGUCCGCUCUGAAAGUCGGGGGCUCAACCCCUGGAUGCGGGUGGAUACUGCUGGGCUAGAGUCCGGAAGAGGCGAGUGGAAUUCCGGGUGUAGCGGUGGAAUGCGUAGAGAUCCGGAAGAACACCGGUGGCGAAGGCGGCCUGCUGGGCGAGUUGCUGACACUGAGGCGCGACAGCGUGGGGAGCAAACAGG
rnacentral:rRNA from 1 species